CCUACGGGGGGCUGCAGUGGGGAAUAUUGGGCAAUGGGCGAAAGCCUGACCCAGCAACGCCGCGUGAAGGAAGAAGGCUUUCGGGUUUUAAACUUCUUUUCUGCGGGACGAAGAAAGUGACGGUACCUCAGGAAUAAGCCACGGCUAACUACGGGCCAGCAGCCGCGGUAAUACGUAGGUGGCAAGCGUUAGCAGGAUUUAUUGGUUGUAAAGGGCGUGUAGGUGGGAAGGCAAGUCAGAUGUGAAAUCUCAGGGCUCAACCCUGAGCCUGCAUUUGAAACUGUUAUUCUUGAGUGCUGGAGAGGCAAUCGGAAUUCGGUGUGUAGCGGUGAAAUGCGUAGAUAUACGGAGGAACACCAGUGGCGAAGGCGGAUUGCUGGACAGUAACUGACGCUGAGGCGCGAAAGCGUGGGGAGCAAACAGGAUUAGAUACCCGAGUAGUC
rnacentral:rRNA from 1 species